rnacentral:rRNA from 1 species
AUUGAACGCUGGCGGCAUGCUUUACACAUGCAAGUCGGACGAGUGGCGAACGGGUGAGUAACGCAUCGGAACGUACCGAGUAAUGGGGGAUAACUGUCCGAAAGGCCAGCUAAUACCGCAUAUUAUUCGAGCGGCCGAUGUCUGAUUAGCUGUUUGGCGGGGUAAAGGCCCACCAAGGCGACGAUCGGUAGCGGGUCUGAGAGGAUGAUCCGCCAAACUGGAACGGAGACACGGCCCGGACUCCUACGGGAGGCAGCAGUGGGGAAUAUUGCGCAAUGGGGGCAACCCUGACGCAGCCAGGCCGCGUGAAUGAAGAAGGCCUUCGGGUUGUAAAGUUCUUUCGGCGAGGAGGCGUUAAUCACAGAAGAAGCACCGGCUAACUACGUGCCAGCAGCCGCGGUAAUUC